CACGUAGGCACCAAGCGUUGUCCGGAUUUAUUGGUCGUAAAGAGCUCGUAGGCGGUUCAGUAAGUCGGGUGUGAAAACUCUGGGCUUAACCCAGAGACGCCACCCGAUACUGCUGUGACUUGAGUACGGUAGGGGAGCAGGGAAUUCCUGGUGUAGCGGUGAAAUGCGCAGAUAUCAGGAGGAACACCUGAGGUGAAGACGGGUUGCUGGGCUGACACUGACGCUGAGGCGCGAAAGCCAGGGGAGCAAACGGG
rnacentral:rRNA from 1 species